AACGGGUGAGUAACACGUGGGAAACCUACCUCUUAGCAGGGGAUAACAUUUGGAAACAGAUGCUAAUACCGUAUAACAAUAGCAACCGCAUGGUUGCUACUUAAAAGAUGGUUCUGCUAUCACUAAGAGAUGGUCCCGCGGUGCAUUAGUUAGUUGGUGAGGUAAUGGCUCACCAAGACGAUGAUGCAUAGCCGAGUUGAGAGACUGAUCGGCCACAAUGGGACUGAGACACGGCCCAUACUCCUACGGGAGGCAGCAGUAGGGAAUCUUCCACAAUGGGCGAAAGCCUGAUGGAGCAACGCCGCGUGUGUGAUGAAGGGUUUCGGCUCGUAAAACACUGUUGUAAGAGAAGAAUGACAUUGAGAGUAACUGUUCAAUGUGUGACGGUAUCUUACCAGAAAGGAACGGCUAAAUACGUGCCAGCAGCCGCGGUAAUACGUAUGUUCCAAGCGUUAUCCGGAUUUAUUGGGCGUAAAGCGAGCGCAGACGGUUAUUUAAGUCUGAAGUGAAAGCCCUCAGCUCAACUGAGGAAUUGCUUUGGAAACUGGAUGACUUGAGUGCAGUAGAGGAAAGUGGAACUCCAUGUGUAGCGGUGAAAUGCGUAGAUAUAUGGAAGAACACCAGUGGCGAAGGCGGCUUUCUGGACUGUAACUGACGUUGAGGCUCGAAAGUGUGGGUAGCAAACAGGAUUAGAUACCCUGGUAGUCCACACCGUAAACGAUGAGUGCUAGGUGUUUGAGGGUUUCCGCCCUUAAGUGCCGCAGCUAACGCAUUAAGCACUCCGCCUGGGGAGUACGACCGCAAGGUUGAAACUCAAAGGAAUUGACGGGGACCCGCACAAGCGGUGGAAGCAUGUGGUUUAAUUCGAAGCAACGCGAAGAACCUUACCAGGUCUUGACAUCCCUUGACACUCCAGAAGAUGGAGCGUUCCCUUCGGGGACAAGGUGACAGGUGGGUGCAUGGUUGUCCUCACCUCCUGCCAGAAAAAGGUUGGGGUUAA
rnacentral:rRNA from 1 species